AAAAAGAUAAGCUAAUUCAAGCUCUUAGGUUCAUACCCUAAUAAAGAAAGUUCAAUCUUUCUCUUUUUA
rnacentral:tRNA from 1 species